CUGCAAUGAUGUAACAGAGUAUUUGCUAUCUGAAGUAGAAUGCUGAAAAAUUACUACCACCAAGAACUGAGCAG